rnacentral:rRNA from 1 species
UACAGAGGUCUCAAGCGUUGUUCGGAUUCAUUGGGCGUAAAGGGUGCGUAGGUGGCGCGGUAAGUCGGGUGUGAAAAUUUCGGAGCUUAACUCCGAAACUGCAUUCGAUACUGCCGUGCUUGAGGACUGGAGAGGAGACUGGAAUUUACGGUGUAGCAGUGAAAUGCGUAGAGAUCGUAAGGAAGACCAGUGGCGAAGGCGGGUCUCUGGACAGUUCCUGACACUGAGG